AGUGAACGCUGGCGGUAGGCCUAACACAUGCAAGUCGAACGGCAGCACAGUAAGAGCUUGCUCUUACGGGUGGCGAGUGGCGGACGGGUGAGGAAUACAUCGGAAUCUACUUUUUCGUGGGGGAUAACGUAGGGAAACUUACGCUAAUACCGCAUACGACCUACGGGUGAAAGCAGGGGAUCUUCGGACCUUGCGCGAUUGAAUGAGCCGAUGCCGGAUUAGCUAGUUGGCGGGGUAAAGGCCCACCAAGGCGACGAUCCGUAGCUGGUCUUAGAGGAUGAUCCGCCACACUGGAACUUGAACACGGUCCAAACCCCUACGGGAGGCAGCAGUGGGGAAUAUUGGACAAUGGGCGCAAGCCUGAUCCAGCCAUACCGCGUGGGUGAAGAAGGCCUUCGGGUUGUAAAGCCCUUUUGUUGGGAAAGAAAAGCAGCAGGUUAAUACCCCGCUGUUCUGACGGUACCCAAAGAAUAAGCACCGGCUAACUUCGUG
rnacentral:rRNA from 1 species